rnacentral:tRNA from 1 species
CGCGGGAUAGAGCAGUGGAAGCUCGUCGGGCUCAUAACCCGGAGGUCGCAGGUUCGAAUCCUGCUCCCGCUACCA